UUAGGAUGUUCAGAACUGGCUCUGCUUUUCCGACUUCUUCCAAGCCGCAACUUUGGCAAGAUGUUUCCCGGAGAUGAGAAGUUGGCGAACGAGGAGGUGGAGGAGGAGGAGGAGGAGGGAGGUUUUUGGAGCUUCAUCAUGGCAUCUUAACAGCAUCUGGGGCAGUGGAAGGGCCACGUUGCAGGGGACAGUUAAGAGAUCAUGAGCCCAUCUGCCCACAGGGACAUUCAACUUUGUAGAGAGAGA